rnacentral:lncRNA from 1 species
AUAUUUACAGAGAACGAAUUCAGAUAUUCUCGGAUUCAACAUCAAUUAUUAAAGCGAUCUACUACAGGUCCAACCAAUCUGAAUCGAUCACCUGGGAUACUAUAAUGAAGCUCAAAACGUUUCAGCCCUUUAUUGACGAAUGUAACGCCUUCUCUUUUAGAUAGAACUUUUGCUUCUCCAGAAAUACUAUGUAAACUGAUCAACUAGCUAAUUGGAGUCUAGGGGUGUCAACGAGUCGAACACGAGCGAGCUGGGGCUGGCUCGUAUUCGGCUCGUUUAAUAAACGAGCCAAACAUUAGCUAGCUCGUUAAAGUAUCGAGCUAAAAAAUUCAGCUCGUGUUCGGCUCGUUAAUAAAUGAGCCGAACACGAGUUGGCUCAUGAGCUGGCCAACGAACAAUAAGUUAAAAGGAUUAUAUUGGAUAUAUAUAAAAAAAAAAAUUUAUAAAAUCUUAUCCGUUAGACUUUGAUCUAAUGGUUGAAACUUUAAUUACAUAUAAAUGAGUCUUUUUAUAAUUGAGUUCACCUUUAUAUUUUUAUUUUGCUAAAAAUUAAAUAAUAAAAAUAUAUAUAUGUAUAUACAUAAUUAUUUAUUUAUAUAAUAAAUAUAUAUAUAUAUAUAUAAAUUUAAUAAAUUAUAUAAAUAUAAAAUAUAUGUAUUCGAGCUGUUAUCGAGCCGAACACGACCGAGCGGACCCCAGCUCGUGUUCGGCUCGUUUAUUAAACGACCUGAAAAAUUCAGCUUAUACUCAGCUCGUUUACUGAAUGACACUACAACAGAAUUAGAUUAUAGGAACACAUGUUCAGGACACUUUUGUAUAUGUGUCCAAUUUAUACUAAAACUUAAAAAAAAAAUCUACUAAUGCCUAAAUAUAAAGCCCAAUUCAACAAAAAAUAAAAUAUUUUUCUACUCAACUUACCCCACUCAGCCCAUUCGGCCCGAUUACAAACAAAAAAGAAAAAAAUAAUAAAAAUUGAUUACCAUCUCCCCUUCUCCUCUCACUCAAUCCACUGAAAUCCUAGACGAAGAACCCUUCCCUCUCCUCCUCCUCCGCCACCGCAGUCAAUGAGGUGGAGUUCUGGCGGUUGCUAAAUUCUUAAAUAAGUGUUGAUAAAUUAGCAGCACUCUUUUAGGUUAUACCGACAUUCUUUAACUGUCACUAUAUAUCUAGCGACCCAUGCCUCUCUGCCACCGCAGUCAAUGAGGAAGAGUUCUGACGGUUGCUAAAUGCUUAAAUAAGCAUUGAUAAAUUAGCAACACUCUUUUAGGUUAUAUCGACACUCUUUAACUGUCACUAUAUAUCUAGCGACCCCACAUAUAACAACACUUUUUAAAAGUGUCGGUAAUUUAGUCACAAGCACUUUUUUUUACCUGUACCGACAUUUAAAAGUGUCGUUAUACACCGUUUUUCUUGUAGUGUGAGUGAUUCGAUCUCGAGCUCAUUUCGAACCGAACACGAGCUGGCUCGCGAACAGCGAGCUAGAUUGCCACCCCUCCUGGGGUAUGUCUAGCAAAAAUAAUUUAAGAGCUAAAAUAAAAAACUUAAUUUAUUUGACUAAAUAUUGACACAUUGUUGAUGUAAAAAUAAUAUAGUAUUUUAAUUGUUAGCACAUCAUCAAUAACACUACUACUACAUCACUUUCAUAUAAUUAGUAAUAUAUUAAUAUUUAAUUAACUAAAUUAGAUUAUAAAAUUAGAUUGUAAUAAUUUUAAAAUUCAAUUCAGAAAUUAUAUUAAAUUAAAAUUUAAGAGCUAAAAUAAUCACCUAAAUCAUAGUUUGAAGACCAAACAUGUAAUUUACCCUCAAAUUUUUUUGUUGCCUUCAUUAUUUUUGGACGUUACAUAAUCUAUAGAGUCGGUCAUCUGUUUACCCUGCACUCGGACUAGAUGAGAGUGCUUAAGAGGGAUAAUUUCGUUUAAUUAUUCAUCUUCAAGGUGUCUAAGUGAAAUGUCGCGCACAAAAUAAAUAAUAAUAAAAAUGUAUAUAAUUUAUCUGAGCUAUAAAUCUUUUUAAAUCAGCUAGCCAACUUUUAAAAUUUUAAUUUUUCUAGUCAAUCGUUUAGUUUAUUUAAUUUAAAUUAGUCAACCACACGUUGACUUAAAAAUUUGAAUAUAUUGUUUAUCUUUUAAAAUGUUAGUUAGAAUACUUCAUAUAAUGUUGAUACCCAUAACAAAUUUAUUAAAAUAAAUAAUUAAAUCAAAUAAAUCAAAUAAUUC